GAGUGCUCAUUCCCGUCGUAUUCUAAAAUUAGAAUGAAAAAGAGAAGAUUAUCAUGAUCCUUAGACUAGAAUGAUACUCAAAUUUGCGAAGCAUUCCAUAUUUUU